CUGCCCGUCACGCCAUGGGAAUUGGUUUCACUCGAAGCUAAUGACCUAACCGUAAGGAGGGAGUUAUUUAAAGUGGGAUCAGUGACUGGGGUGAAGUCGUAACAAG
rnacentral:ncRNA from 1 species